ACUGCAGCCUUGCUGAUUUGACCGAGCUACGCCUAGUAGCACCGAGCACCAAUGCCCAGCCACGCGCGCGCCCAAGCCAUGCCACUGCCAUGCCAGACAUGCAGUAGCCCGAAACCACCGCCACUUAGUCAUUCGUCCAUCGUAACGUCUACCAUUAAUGGAGCUUCAUGGCAUGUGUUUCUCUGGAUUUAUGGUGCAGCUAUAGCCACGGGACCGCGUGAAGUCUGCAGCCCCGACUCCUCUGCUUCCCCUCUUCUCUCCUAUAAAAGGUAGCAUCCCCUUCUGCACUCCCUCACACCAUUCCUCCAACCUUCCUGUUAAUUUAUGUUUAUCCCCACCGUUGCGUUGCAGUCGACCCCGUCGUAUAACACCGAUCGGAGCUGCCGACGCCCUUUGCCACCGGCGAGGACGCCUCGAAGCCGACGCAGUGCUUCCGUCAACCUUCCUCCGUGCCGU
rnacentral:lncRNA from 7 species